GCAUCAGUGGUGUAGCGGUAACAUUGGGUCUUCCCAUUGGAAUUUAAAGCCCAAAAAUUGGCCUAGCUCCGGGUUCGACUCCCGGCUGAUGCA